rnacentral:rRNA from 1 species
UACGGGAGCGGCAAACGGGGUAGGAAUACAUCGGAACGUACCUUCUGGUUGAGAAUAGCGUUGGGAAACUGACGGUAAUACUCAAUAAAGUCGAGAGACCAAAGGUUUACUGCCGGAAGAGCGGCCGAUGCGAUAUUAGGUAGUUGGUGGGGUAAUGGCCUACCAAGCCUGAGAUGUCUAGGGGGUGUGAGAGCAUGGCCCCCACCACUGGGACUGAGAUACUGCCCAGACACCUACGGGUGGCUGCAGUCGAGGAUCUUCGUCAAUGGGCGAAAGCCUGAACGAGCGACGCCGCGUGCGGGAUGAAGGCCCUUGGGUUGUAAACCGCUGUCAGGGGGGAUGAAACCGUAAGGUUGACAGAGCCCCAGAGGAAGCACGGGCUAAGUUCGUGCCAGCAGCCGCGGUAAUACGAACUGUGCGAACGUUACUCGGAAUCACUGGGCUUACAGGGUGCGUAGGUGGCUUGAUAAGCAGGGUGUGAAAUCCCU